AGAGUUUGAUCAUGGCUCAGAUUGAACGCUGGCGGCAUGCUUUACACAUGCAAGUCGAACGCGAAAGCGGGGCAACCCGCAAGUAGAGUGGCGAACGGGUGAGUAAUACAUCGGAACGCGCCCUUUAGUGGGGGACAACGCCGAGAAAUCGGCGCUAAUACCGCAUACGCCCGAAAGGGGAAAGCGGGGGACCGCAAGGCCUCGCGCUGUUGGAGCGGCCGAUGUCCGAUUAGCUAGUUGGUGGGGUAAAGGCUCACCAAGGCGACGAUCGGUAGCUGGUCUGAGAGGAUGAUCAGCCACACUGGGACUGAGACACGGCCCAGACUCCUACGGGAGGCAGCAGUGGGGAAUUUUGGACAAUGGGGGCAACCCUGAUCCAGCCAUGCCGCGUGAGUGAAGAAGGCCUUCGGGUUGUAAAGCUCUUUCGGCCGGAACGAAAUCGCGCGGGCGAACAAUCCGCGUGGAUGACGGUACCGGAAUAAGAAGCACCGGCUAACUACGUGCCAGCAGCCGCGGUAAUACGUAGGGUGCAAGCGUUAAUCGGAAUUACUGGGCGUAAAGCGUGCGCAGGCGGUCGCGUAAGCCAGAUGUGAAAGCCCCGGGCUUAACCUGGGAAUUGCAUUUGGUACUGCGUGGCUAGAGUGCGGCAGAGGGAGGUGGAAUUCCUGGUAGCAGUGAAAUGCGUAGAUAUCAGGAGGAACACCGAUGGCGAAGGCAGCCUCCUGGGCCAGCACUGACGCUCAUGCACGAAAGCGUGGGGAGCAAACAGGAUUAGAUACCCUAGUAGUCC
rnacentral:rRNA from 1 species